AGCAGUGGGGAAUAUUGGACAAUGGGCGAAAGCCUGAUCCAGCCAUGCCGCGUGUGUGAAGAAGGCCUUCGGGUUGUAAAGCACUUUAAGCGAGGAGGAAGGGUAUCAACUUAAUACGUUGGUAUUUUGACGUUACUCGCAGAAUAAGCACCGGCUAACUCUGUGCCAGCAGCCGCGGUAAUACAGAGGGUGCAAGCGUUAAUCGGAAUUACUGGGCGUAAAGCGCGCGUAGGCGGUUGUGUAAGUUGGAUGUGAAAUCCCCGGGCUUAACCUGGGAAUGGCAUUCAAAACUGCACGGCUAGAGUAUGGGAGAGGAAGGUAGAAUUCCAGGUGUAGCGGUGAAAUGCGUAGAUAUCUGGAGGAUACCGAUGGCGAAGGCAGCCUUCUGGCCUAUACUGACGCUGAGG
rnacentral:rRNA from 1 species